ACUAUAAAUGGUAAUCCGUAGCCUCUCUAUCUUUCACAGACUUCACUCUCAGCAGAGAGUAGACCUCUCUAGGAUGCGGCACUGUUGCGAAGGCAUCAUAUUAUGAGUAACGGUUCUUCUGCUCCACGGAAGACUUGGUUCAGAUCAGGUGCCAUUAAACCGGGUGAAGCAUUCGGUUACUUCAAUUUACAUGUUGGUUGGUCUUUGUACGGCUCGACCGUGAUUUCUUUGUAUAAACAAAUGAGUUAAUUGUUAUUGUCAUUUGAAUAAGGGUGGACUUGGGUUUCAUUUGAGUUUACAUCCUUAUUCGAAUUACAUAAAUGGAAGAUUUACUAUAUGUGUUAGUUAGAAUAUCACUCUUUGAAGUGAUAUCGGAUUUGGAAAUUGAAGAUUUUGACUAGAAUAAUAAAAAUCUAUCUUCGAAGGAAAAAUUGUGUUAGUACGAUGGAGUAGAAUAUGUGUUGGGAUGGUACUGUUUUGAGGAUGAAGGCUUAUCUGGUUUUGGAUAAUACUUGAUUACCUGGAUACAAGUUACCUUGCGAUACAAUAGAUUUGUGACUUGGAUUUGUGACUUAAAGAUCCAAGGAUGUAUAACUUGGAGGGUAUAAUGUUUGUACCAAAUUGUAUUUAGAUGAAAUUUGUACCAAAAUAAUAAAAGGUGUACAUCGAAUUGUUAGCUUGUGUCUUGCUUUA